ACCAGCAUAGCUUAACCCUAAAGCAUAGCGCUGAAAACGCUAAGACGGACCCUAAAAAAUCCUGCUAGUA
rnacentral:tRNA from 1 species